CUAAGGCAUGCAAGUCGUACGGGACCAUCCGAGUAGCAAUACGAGGGUGGUUUAGUGGCGGACGGGUGAGUAAUGCAUGGGUAACGUACCUUCAGCACAGGGAUAGCGUCGGGCCCGCAAGGGUCCUUUGCGAAAGUGACGGUAAUACCUGAUGACGUCGCGGGGUCUCAUGAUCCUGCGACCAAAGAUGGGGAUCGCAAGACCUAUCGGCUAUAGAGCGGCCCAUGUCCUAUCAGCUAGUUGGUGAGGUAACGGCCCACCAAGGCUAUGACGGGUAGCCGGCGUGAGAGCGCGACCGGCCACAUCGGGACUGAGACACUGCCCGGACACCUACGGGUGGCUGCAGCAACGAAUAUUCCGCAAUGGGCGCAAGCCUGACGGAGCGACGCCGCGUGGAGGAUGAAGUCCUUCGGGAUGUAAACUCCAAUAGUUUGUCAGGAAGUGAGGCGACCUAAUACGUCGCCAAGUUGACCAGCAAAUGAAAGGGACGGCUAACUCCGUG
rnacentral:rRNA from 1 species